GUCAAUAAUGUUGGACUAAAUGGCCUUUAAUUCUUCUUAGCUAUAAAACUGUGUUCUUGGCACCCAGCAUUUCCAGGGCAGGAAUUCAGUCCUGUUCCCUUUUUCCUAGUCUGUGUUGAUUUGCAGACUUGUUCUUUUAGACCACAGAAUCAUGGAAGAUGUGUUUCUGGGAAUGGAAGAGAAUCAAAAAAUCCAGUCAAGUCUGAUCAUCUCACUGCACCAGACAUUCAGAGAAAGAAGAUGGAAGGUUACUUGUUUCCUAUAGAGAAUAAACCCAUUUGGCUGCUAAAAUGUCUGCAAUAAGA